rnacentral:tRNA from 1 species
GGGGAUAUAGCUCAGUUGGUAGAGUGCUUGCCUCACAUGCACAAGGACCUGGUUCAACCCCAGCAGCUCCC